rnacentral:rRNA from 1 species
GACGAACGCUGGCGGCGUGCUUUACACAUGCAAGUCGAACGGAAAGGCCCUGCUUUUGUGGGGUGCUCGAGUGGCGAACGGGUGAGUAACACGUGAGUAACCUGCCCUUGACUUUGGGAUAACUUCAGGAAACUGGGGCUAAUACCGGAUAGGAGCUCCUGCUGCAUGGUGGGGGUUGGAAAGUUUCGGCGGUUGGGGAUGGACUCGCGGCUUAUCAGCUUGUUGGUGGGGUAGUGGCUUACCAAGGCUUUGACGGGUAGCCGGCCUGAGAGGGUGACCGGCCACAUUGGGACUGAGAUACGGCCCAGACGCCUACGGGAGGCAGCAGUGGGGAAUAUGGCACAAUGGGCGGAAGCCUGAUGCAGCAACGCCGCGUGCGGGAGGACGGCCUUCGGGUUGUAAACCGCUUUCGCCUGUGACGAAGCGUGAGUGACGGUAAUGGGUAAAGAAGCACCGGCUAACUACGU